AACACGUAAGUAAUCUACCUCUGAGUGGGGAAUAACAACCGGAAACGGUUGCUAAUACCGCAUAACGCAGCGGCACCGCAAGGUGACAGUUGUUAAAGAUUUAUCGCUUGGAGAGGAGCUUGCGGCAGAUUAGCUAGUUGGUAAGGUAAUGGCUUACCAAGGCAACGAUCUGUAGCCGGUCUAAGAGGACGGUCGGUCACACUGACACUGAAUAACGGGUCAGACUCCUACGGGAGGCAGCAGUCGGGAAUUUUGGGCAAUGGGCGAAAGCCUGACCCAGCAACGCCGCGUGAAGGAUGAAGUAUUUCGGUAUGUAAACUUCGAAAGAAUGGGAAGAAUUAAUGACGGUACCAUUUAUAAGGUCCGGCUAACUACGUGCCAGCAGCCGCGGUAAUACGUAGGGACCAAGCGUUGUUCGGAUUUACUGGGCGUAAAGGGCGC
rnacentral:rRNA from 1 species